CGCUGGGGAAGAACACGGCAAACACGAACCAUUGUGUGCCUGCUUUCCUCAUUUAACCAUCCCUGUCAGUUUAUCCUAAGUGAUAUUUCCAAUUUGCUUUUCCUGCAGUUGCUUCGAGAAUACAAAUGUGACAAUUAAUCCUUUCCAAGCACAUCAUAAUGUCAGAUGAUCAUCACACA
rnacentral:lncRNA from 1 species